rnacentral:rRNA from 1 species
GACGUAGGGUCCAAGCGUUGUCCGGAUUUACUGGGCGUAAAGAGCGCGUAGGCGGCUCGUUAAGUGUGAAGUGAAAUCUCUAGGGCUCAACCCAGAAACUGCUUUACAUACUGGCGAGCUGGAGUGAUGAAGAGGUUUGUGGAAUUCCUGGUGUAGCGGUGAAAUGCGUUGAUAUCAGGAGGAACACCCAUGGCGAAGGCAACAAACUGGUCAUCAACUGACGCUGAGGCGCGAAAAGCGUGGGUAGCAAACAGG